UAAAGUUUACGAGACAAAUCUCGUGCAUGCCCCACGAUUCACGAAUGAGCUGAUGGCACGGAAACAAAUUUAAUUUGAAAUGACCGAUUUAACCAUGAAAGUGUACACCUCAAAUACAAUCCCACGUUGUUACCACUUACCACCGUGAAGCACUUUCUCCCUCUCUGUUUUGUUGUUGUAAACAAGCAUGAUAGUCUGGGGGAGUAGUUGUAUUGGGUCCUGUUUGGUACAUCUUUGUUGCUCUAUUUUAUAUGAUAUUUCUCAAACACAAAUCUUUGUAAUUAUUGGUCAUUUAGUUACUCAGAUACUAGUAUUUUAGAAGUGCGUUUGUGGUGAUUUUUCCGAGGUGGUUGUGGCAGCAACCAAUUCUUAGGUGUUGCGAUGAUAGUUGUGACGGUGGUGACUGCUGACAAUAACGGCAGCGACUUAAAGGAGCAACAGCAACAACGAAGACAACAGUGACGAUGGAGGCAACUAUCGGUUGUUAUCAAGAACAAUUGACGACAACGGAGAAUGGUUCUUGCAGUAAUUAGAUAAAAAAACAAGAACGGUGUUGAUGUAGGCUUCUAUCAACGACCAUGAGCUGCGCAAAUAGAACUAUUAUUCAAAAGAAAUUUUGGAGAUGGAGACAAUCAGCGCAUGAUUUAUCUAUUUUCGUAGAACUGUGUUUUUUGAAACGCGUUCGUACAAUUCGUGGAGUCGGGGUAUCUUAAUUUAUAACAAUACUCUUUUAAUAUUUUAGCCACUAAAAUUAAAAUUAAGUAAAAAACAAAAAAUAUCAUCAUCAUUUAUUUUGAAUAGAUAUAUAUACAUCUACAUGUAUGUAUACAUAUAUAAAUCAUUAAAUUUCG
rnacentral:lncRNA from 1 species